rnacentral:lncRNA from 1 species
GGGCAGACGGGCUGGGGUUGGAGCUUGGGGUGGCCAGUGAGGCCUGACUCAGCAGGAACUGGUCCCGUUCUCUCUUGGUCCUGGUGAGUCUUUAUGGGGCGCUAGAAAGGUCCUGAUCAGGUUGAAAGUAACCCAUGGCAAACAGAAAACAUGACCCAGGGACCCAAGUGAGCCCUGCCACCUUUGGCACUAUUUUCAAGCAGCCCUGGGGAAGUCAGGACUGAGUGGAGAGGGGGCCGGGUGCACGUGUGGGUGUGGCUGGAGUUUGGUGUGCCAGCGGGUCGGGACAGGGGCGCUGUCCUGUUUCCCAGCUGUUCCCGUGCACAGGGGCGAUGGGAUCAAAAGUCUCCGCCCUCAACCACUGAGAAGAAUGGGGAAGACUCACCCUUUUCCAACAGCUUACGUCUUUGUAGACCAGGGCAUCAUCUAAGGAGAGGGGGAGAUUCUGGGUUUUUUAAAUGUUGAUGUAAAUAUGUUUAUUUAGCAAGUGUGCUGUGGGUACUCACCCAUGCGCACUGAUCGUUGAGAACAGCAGCAGUGACGAAGGCAGACGUCGUUACAGAGCGAGCUAGGUGCUCAGGAGGAAAGCUCCAGGGCAGAGCCCAGGGCCACGGGCUUGCAGGCCAGCAGGGUCUCAGACCAU